rnacentral:rRNA from 1 species
AUUGAACGCUGGCGGCAUGCCUUACACAUGCAAGUCGAACGGUAACGCGGGGGCAACCCUGGCGACGAGUGGCGAACGGGUGAGUAAUACAUCGGAACGUACCCAGUAGUGGGGGAUAGCUCGGCGAAAGCCGGAUUAAUACCGCAUACGACCUAUGGGUGAAAGCGGGGGAUCGCAAGACCUCGCGCUAUUGGAGCGGCCGAUGUCGGAUUAGCUAGUUGGUGAGGUAAAGGCUCACCAAGGCUACGAUCCGUAGCUGGUCUGAGAGGACGACCAGCCACACUGGGACUGAGACACGGCCCAGACUCCUACGGGAGGCAGCAGUGGGGAAUUUUGGACAAUGGGCGAAAGCCUGAUCCAGCCAUGCCGCGUGUGUGAAGAAGGCCUCGGUUGUAAGUAC